rnacentral:SRP_RNA from 1 species
AAGCGGGGAGGUAGCGGUGCCCUGUACCUGCAAUCCGCUCUAGCAGGGCCGAAUCCCUUCUCGAGGUUCGUUUACUUUAAGGCCUGCCUUAAGUAAGUGGUGUUGACGUUUGGGUCCUGCGCAAUGGGAAUUCAUGAACCAUGUCAGGUCCGGAAGGAAGCAGCAUUAAGUGAAACCUCUCAUGUGCCGCAGGGUUGCCUGG